rnacentral:rRNA from 1 species
GUCAAACACUAAAUAAGGGCUAACAAUGGAUACCUAGGCAUCUAAAGACGAUGAAGGGCGUGCACAGCGACGAAAUGCCUUAACGAGCUGCAUGGUAGCGAUGACUUAAGGAUCCCCGAAUAGGGCAACCUCGUAGUACAACUAAUACUAAUUCAUAAUAUUAGUUUGAGAUAACCCAGUGAACUGAAACAUCUUAGUAGCUGGCGGAAAAGAAAGCAAAAGCGAUUCCCUUAGUAGCGGUGAGCGAAAUGGGAUCAGCCUAAACCAACCUUUAUUAGGUUGGGGUUGUGGGGUAGAAUUUAAUUAUUAAAAAUAAACAAGAAAAAUGAAGCGAUUGAAUGUCGCACCAAAGAAGGUGAUAGUCCUGUAAUUUUUACUAAAUUUAACAUUAAUAUUUUUACCCCGAGUAGCAUGGGACACGUGGAAUUCCGUGUGAAGCUGCGAGGACCACCUCGCAAGGCUAAAUACUCUUAGAUGACCGAUAGCGCAUAGUACCGUGAGGGAAAGGUGAAAAGAACCCCAGUAGGGGAGUGAAAUAGAAUAUGAAAUUGUUAGCUUACAAGCAGUAGGAGGUAUCUAGCUAUACUGACUGCGUGCCUGUUGAAGAAUGAGCCGGCGACUUAUAUGCAGUGGCAAGGUUAAGGGUAAACCCCCGAAGCCAGAGCGAAAGCAAGUCUUAAUAGGGCGUUUAGUCACUGUAUAUAAACCCGAACCCAGGUGAUCUAACCAUGGCCAGGAUGAAACUUCAGUAACAUGGAGUGGAGGACCGAACCCACUGAUGUUGAAAAAUCAGGGGAUGAGCUGUGGUUAGGGGUGAAAUGCCAAUCGAACUUGGAGCUAGCUGGUUCUCCCCGAAAUGCGUUGAGGCGCAGCGGUAGAUAACGGAAUGUCAGGGGUAAAGCACUGUUUCGGUGCGGGCUGUGAAAACGGUACCAAAUCGUGGCAAACUAAGAAUACUGAACAAUUUUUCUAUCUACUAGUGAGACUAUGGGGGAUAAGCUUCAUAGUCGAAAGGGAAACAGCCCAGACCAUCAGCUAAGGCCCCUAAAUGAUUACUAAGUGAUAAAGGAGGUAAAGAUGCGUAGACAACCAGGAGGUUUGCCUAGAAGCAGCCACCCUUAAAAGAGUGCGUAACAGCUCACUGGUCGAGCGUCUUCGCGCCGAAAAUGAAUGGGACUAAGUAAUCUGCCGAAGCUAUGGGAUUUCUAUUGAUUUGAAAUCGGUAGGGGAGCGUUCUGCUGUAGGUUGAAGUUUUAAUGUGAAUUGAGAUGGACGACGCAGAAGUGAGAAUGUCGGCUUGAGUAACGAAAAUACUGGUGAGAAUCCAGUACCCCGAAAACCUAAGGAUUCCUCCACAAGGUUCGUCCUUGGAGGGUUAGUCAGGACCUAAGAUGAGGCCGAUAGGCGUAAUCGAUGGAAAACAGGUGAAUAUUCCUGUACUACAUAUAUUUUAACACCAAGGGACGGAAUGAUCUAACUAAUUAGACUAUUGGGUUGUUCUAAUUAAAAAAUAUUUAAUCAGAUAGACGAAGAAAUAUCUCAAAUUACUUAUUUUUCUUUUUAGGUUUAGUAAAUUCCCUAGAAAAGCUUGUGCUGUUUUGACGGAUGCGUCAAGAAACUAUAUGUACCUGUACCGAUAACCGACACAGGUGGGUUAGUAGAGAAUACUAAGGGGCGCGAGAUAACUCUCUCUAAGGAACUCGGCAAAAUGGCCCCGUAACUUCGGGAGAAGGGGUACCUGCCUAGCAGGUCGCAGUGACCAGGCCCAAGCAACUGUUUACCAAAAACACAGGUCUCCGCAAAGUCGAAAGACAACGUAUGGGGGCUGACGCCUGCCCAGUGCCGGAAGGUUAAGGAAGCUGGUUAUCUUCGGAGAAGCUAGCGACUGAAGCCCCGGUGAACGGCGGCCGUAACUAUAACGGUCCUAAGGUAGCGAAAUUCCUUGUCGGGUAAGUUCCGACCCGCACGAAAGGCGUAAUGAUUUGGGCACUGUCUCGGAGAGAGACUCGGUGAAAUAGACUUGUCUGUGAAGAUGCGGACUACCUACACCUGGACAGAAAGACCCUAUGAAGCUUUACUAUAACUUGAGGCUGGGCUCGGACUUAUCUUGCGCAGCAUAGGUGGGAGGCUUUGAGGAUUUAAUUUCGGUUAAAUAUGAGCCAUCAGUGAGAUACCACUCUAGAUGAGUUAGAGUCCUAAGAGUAGCCUUUGAAACAAGGUAUUCGACACCCUCAGGCGGGUAGUUUGACUGGGGCGGUCGCCUCCUAAAAGGUAACGGAGGCGUACAAAGGUCUCCUCAGGCUGGACGGAAAUCAGCCGUAGAGCGCAAAGGCAGAAGGAGGCUUGACUGUAAGACUUACAAGUCGAACAGGGACGAGAGUCGGUCUUAGUGAUCCGACGGUUCUGUGUGGAAGGGCCGUCGCUCAACGGAUAAAAGUUACUCUAGGGAUAACAGGCUGAUCUCCCCCAAGAGUUCACAUCGACGGGGAGGUUUGGCACCUCGAUGUCGGCUUAUCGCAACCUGGGGCGGAAGGGCGUCCCAAGGGUUGGGCUGUUCGCCCAUGAAAGCGGUACAUGAGCUGGGUUCAGAACGUCGUGAGACAGUUCGGUCCAUAUCCGGUGUAGGCGUUAGAGCAUUGCGGGGAUCUUCCCUUUGUACGAGAGGACCGGGGAGGACGCACCGCUGGUGUACCAGUUCUUAUCCCCAUAGGAAACGCUGGGUAGCCAUGUGCGGGAGUGGAUUUUUUUAUAAGAAAAAUUAAGAUUGGAUAACUGCUGAAAGCAUAUAAGUAGGAAGCCGACCCCAAGAUGAAUGCUCUCUUGAGACCACAGCAAGAACAGCUGUUUAUAGGUGUGAGGUGUACUCAUUGUAAAAUGAUUAAUGCAUGGAGUUAGUUUAAACUACUCCUACUAAGCCAAGACAUACUAAUAGGUCGAUAGAGUUUGAC